UGUGUUUAUGGCUGUAUUGGUCUGGGUUAUGAGGUGUGUGUUUAUGGCUGUAUUGGUCUGGGUUAUGAGGUGUGUGUUUAUGGCUGUAUUGGUCUGGGUUAUGAGGUGUGCAACCAUGGCUGUAUUGGUCUGGGUUAUGAGGUGUGUGUUUAUGGCUGUAUUGGUCUGGGUUAUGAGGUGUGUGUUUAUGGCUGUAUUGGUCUGGGUUAUGAGGUGUGUGUUUAUGGCUGUAUUGGUCUGGGUUAUGAGGUGUGUGUUUAUGGCUGUAUGGGUCUGGGUUAUGAGGUGUGUGUUUAUGGCUGUAUGGGUCUGGGUUAUGUGGUGUGCAACCAUGGCUGUAUGGGUCUGGGUUAUGAGGUGUGUGUUUAUGGCUGUAUGGGUCUGGGUUAUGAGGUGUGUGUUUAUGGCUGUAUUGGUCUGGGUUAUGAGGUGUGUGUUUAUGGCUGUAUGGGUCUGGGUUAUGAGGUGUGUGUUUAUGGCUGUAUGGGUCUGGGUUAUGUGGUGUGCAACCAUGGCUGUAUGGGUCUGGGUUAUGAGGUGUGUGUUUAUGGCUGUAUGGGUCUGGG
rnacentral:lncRNA from 1 species